rnacentral:snRNA from 8 species
AUACUUACCUGGCAAGGGAGACACCGUGAUCAAGAAGGCGGUUCACCCAGGGCGAGGCUCAGCUAUUGCACUCCGGCUGUGCUGACCCCUGCGAAUUUCCCAAAUGUGGAAAUCUCGAUUGCAUAAUUUCUGGUAGUGGGGGACUGCGUUCGCGCUCUCCCCUG